CGCUAUCACUCCUACGGGAGGCAGCAGUGGGGAAUAUUGGACAAUGGGCGCAAGCCUGAUCCAGCAAUGCCGCGUGAGUGAAGACGGCCUUAGGGUUGUAAAACUCUUUCGCUAGGGAAGAUAAUGACUGUACCUAGUAAAGAAGUCCCGGCUAACUCCGUGACAGCAGCCGCGGUAAUACGGAGGGGACUAGCGUUGUUCGGAAUUACUGGGCGUAAAGAGUUCGUAGGCGGACUGACAAGUUAGAGGUGAAAUCCCAGGGCUCAACCCUGGAACUGCCUUUAAAACUGUCAGUCUAGAGACCGGAAGAGGUUAGGGGAAUACCUAGUGUAGAGGUGAAAUUCGUAGAUAUUAGGUGGAACACCAGUGGCGAAGGCGCCUAACUGGUCCGGUACUGACGCUGAGGAACGAAAGCGUGGGGAGCAAACAGGAUUAGAUACCCUGGUAG
rnacentral:rRNA from 1 species